rnacentral:misc_RNA from 1 species
GGGAGGUGUUGCAUGCAGUCACUGUACAACUAACUACUGUCAACUGGAAAGUGCAAAGAACAUCUUCUAUGCACGUUGGAGAGGACUAUUUCGUUUUCUCACCCUUUUACCGUUGUUUUCCUUGCUUUAGUUUGCAUUGAACGGUUCAUUGUGUUCUUAUCUGCUACCAUUUAAGCGUUAACUUUGUACUUUUCACAAGAAAAGUUGAAAAAAGAUUCAAUAUGGAAAGUGUGAUUGACGGCAUCUUUGAACAAUUUGAUUCUAAAGCAAGGAAAACAACGGUAAAAGGG